UACGUAGGGUGCGAGCGUUGUCCGGAAUUAUUGGGCGUAAAGGGCUCGUAGGCGGUCUGUCGCGUCGGGAGUGAAAACUCGGGGCUUAACUCCGAGCCUGCUUCUGAUACGGGCAGACUAGAGGUAUGCAGGGGAGAAUGGAAUUCCUGGUGUAGCGGUGAAAUGCGCAGAUAUCAGGAGGAACACCGGUGGCGAAGGCGGUUCUCUGGGCAUGACCUGACGCUGAGGAGCGAAAGUGUGGGGAGCGAACAGG
rnacentral:rRNA from 1 species